CAGUAGCCGCGGUAAUACAGAGGGUGCGAGCGUUAAUCGGAUUUACUGGGCGUAAAGCGUGCGUAGGCGGCUUCUUAAGUCGGAUGUGAAAUCCCUGAGCUUAACUUAGGAAUUGCAUUCGAUACUGGGAAGCUAGAGUAUGGGAGAGGAUGGUAGAAUUUCAGGUGUAGCGGUGAAAUGCGUAGAGAUCUGGAGGAAUACCGAUGGCGAAGGCAGCCAUCUGGCCUAAUACUGACGCUGAGGUACGAAAGCAUGGGGAGCAAACAGGAUUAGAUACCCGGGUAGUCCCUGUCUCUUAUAA
rnacentral:rRNA from 1 species